GGGUUCCGGUGGCAGCGCCGGGGUCUCAGACCCUGAGGAGACUGAGCCCAGCGCCAGGCGACCGGUCCCCGCCGCCGCCGCCCCUGCGCGGGAGAUCCCCCCUGCUUAGUCCGCGCCCGAGCCCCCGUCCGUGGGAACAGACAAGGGGCCUCCGCAGCGCCUCACAACCCCCGACCAGGUCCAGCGGCGGGGGACUCGGCCGUGGAGGGCGCUGUUCGGUCUGGAUGGCUCCCCCCAUCAGCGGGAGGCUACACCCCCCACCAGCAGGGGCAAGAGGAGCAGCGGGAUGGGAGCAGGCCAACGUCCUGCGGCCUGGUUGAGCUCGCACUGACAAUCGCAGCUCAGGCGCUCAGGACUGCCAGGACCCAGAGGAUUCACACGCCAGCCCCGGCUGAAGCCCAGCUCCUCAUCAACCGGUGAGCCGCCUGCCAGCUCCUGCUCCAGCUGCUGAGAGGCCUGAAGAGACCAAGACAGAGACACAGCCCCGCAGCACCACAGGGAGGCCCCAGUUACCCCAUGCGGAUGAGUUUCAUGGCCAUCUCUAACUAAGGCUGGAGUGCAGUGGCACGAUCUCGGCUCACUGCAACCUCUGCCUCCAGGAUUCAACUGAUUCUCCUGCCUCAGCCUCUCCAGUAGCUGGGAUUACAGGCUUGC
rnacentral:lncRNA from 10 species